rnacentral:rRNA from 1 species
ACGAAGGGUGCAAGCGUUAAUCGGAAUUACUGGGCGUAAAGCGUGCGUAGGCGGUUUGUUAAGUCCGAUGUGAAAGCCCUGGGCUCAACCUGGGAAUGGCAUGGGAAACUGGCAAGCUAGAGUGCGGUAGAGGGGUGCGGAAUUCCCGGUGUAGCGGUGAAAUGCGUAGAGAUCGGGAGGAACAUCCGUGGCGAAGGCGGCACCCUGGACCAGCACUGACGCUGAGGCACGAAAGCGUGGGGAGCAAACAGG